rnacentral:lncRNA from 1 species
GAUACCUGGUCGGUUCAUGGCUGUGUUGGCUUCCCUAUCCCGGUUUCAGGGUAAACGUAAGCCGAUUUUCAGAGGGUUUUAGGGCGGAGCUUGUCAGAAGUUGUGAAGUGGAAAAAUGAGACAGCGCCAUCUAGUGAUAAGACGUUGACUUUCAAAUAAUACUUUCGGCGGCCAUUUUCGUGUAAUAUGUGAAUACGGCGGCCAUCAUCGUGUAUUACGUGAAUGAAUUCUAACCAUAAUUUCUGUAAAAAUGGUUGGCAGGUGUGCUGUUCCUGAUUGUAAAACAACAUAUUACAAAGGAAAUCAAAAAGAAAAUGAUGUUACUUUGUUUGCAGUUCCUAAAACUUCAUUAUCAAAAUGGCAAGAACUAAUUCCAUGUAGUAAUUUGACGAGCACCUCACGUAUUUGCUCCCGUAAUGUUGACGAAAGUGACUUUAAAUCAGGGAUUGAAAUUUUGAACGUGUUCCAUCCUUUCAAACGUAGGAAUCUUAAUGCUGGAGCAAUUCCCAAACAUUUUCUGAUAAAUGAUACAUCUAUUCGACAAGCAAUGCAAAAUGUUGAUGCUUUCAAAUGGAGAAAUAACCUUAAUGGUAUUAUUACAUAAUUUUAUUUUGUUUAAUAUUAAAUAACGCAAUUCUUAAAUAUGUAUUGCAGUGGAAGCUAAUGCUAGCAAUGCAUCAGCAAGGAAAUGACCAAAAGUAGACAAAAUACCUACUACGUCAAAGAGAAAAAAAUUUGACAGUACAGCACCCUCCAUGGAAGUUACCUCUACUAUUGAAGAAUCAAUGGACAUUCACCAGGCUGCUGAAGAAACAAUUUUUGAUCCACUUCCUGAUGUAAUGAACCAAAACGUUGCUGUUGUCAUUGAAGAUUCGACAGUUACAUCACCUUCUAUGAAAGCAAGCUCUACUAAUUUCAAGUCUAAUUUUGUGACAUUUCAGUCACUAGUAACUUUAU